rnacentral:lncRNA from 1 species
CCGAAGCCUCCGUGCACCUCAUCAUAGCCACCAGCAUCAGCCCCAAUAUGGCCAUUAAAGUCACCCAAUAAGUAACUUCUCAGAUUGAGGAAUACUACUCACCAUAUCAUCCAAGUCCUCCCAACAGCGCCUCUUGGCCUCCUCGUCUAGACCCGCUUGCGGCGCGUAAGCGCUGAUGACGUUGAGAACGCCACCCUCAAUAACCAGCUUAAUAGAC